AUUGAACGCUGGCGGCAGGCCUAACACAUGCAAGUCGAGCGGAGUGGCGGACGGGCGCGUGAGUACUAGGUAUCUGCCUGGUCGUGGGGGAUAACGUCCGGAAACGGGCCCUAAUACCGCAUCCUAUUAGCUUCGCCUUGGUGGGAUGAGCCAGUUGGUGGGGUAAUGGCCUACCAAGGCGACGAUCCGUAACUGGUCUGAGAGGAUGAUCAGUCAAACUGGACUUGAGAAACGGUCCAGACUCCUACGGGAGGAAGCAGUGGGGAAUAUUGGACAAUGGGCGAAAGCCUGAUGCAGCCAUGCCGCGUGUGUGAAGAAGGUCUUCGGGUUGUAAAGCACUUUAAGUGGGGAGGCGGUACCAACAGAAUAAGCACCGGCUAACUUCGUGCCAGCAGCCGCGGUAAUAC
rnacentral:rRNA from 1 species